UGGCUCAGCUGGUAGAGCAUGGCACUAGCAAUGCCAGGGUUGUGGGUUCGAUUCUCAC
rnacentral:tRNA from 1 species